rnacentral:ncRNA from 1 species
GGUGGAGGGCCCACCCAAAUCGCCGUACAGGCGGAGAUUUUAAACUACCUUAAGGUGCUGUAGACAAAAGCUAUGGUAUUGAGCAUUAAGUAAAAGGCAGUACUAAACUGUCAUGU